GGGGCUGUAGCUCAGUAGUAAAGUGCUUGCCUAGAAAGCAUGAGGGCGGGGCUGGAGAGAUGGCUCAGAGGUUAAGAGCACUGACUGCUCUUCCAGGGGUCCUGAGUUCAAAUCCCAGCAACCACA
rnacentral:tRNA from 1 species